AGACGAGAAAAGACAACCCUUUUAUCUAUUCGCCAUCUUGUGCUCGAGUUAAAUCAAAGCAAGACGACCCCAAAUCUUCGUUAACUGCAAAAAAUAAUUGACCUUACUAACCACAAAUAUGCGGCGGCAUUUGCUGUUGUCAGCUGUGGUCUUUAUUCUCUUACACCAUCAGUUUUGCUCCUCUCUGACUUGUCAUUCGUGCUACUCCACGAAGUCCUGGGCCGAGUGUCUAAACCAAGCUGUUCCUAGUACCUGUCCCUCUCUCCCUGGGGCGUGCUGUGUUGAGUUCCAUCGAUCCAUUCACUUCAAAAACAAACGUGUCGAAAACCAGUUUGCAAAAUCCUGCUUUCAUCAGUCUGUGUGUAACCAUGGUGACUGUGUUCGUUCGUUUAUACCCUCAGUUAGCGUGACAUGCACCUUCGGUUGCUGUAACGCAACACUCUGCAAUGACAAGUACGGCAUAGCACGCGUGACUCGGAAUUCUGGAGUUUCUUUUCGGAAUUUGCUAAGGAGGUCACAAAGGCACAACACAUAACAUUCCGGUGGUAGUAAUUCAUAACACGGGUUCCCUGUGUUAAGUUGCCACAGGUAUCCCAACCUCGCACUUUGCUUAUCCAUGUAUCUAAAUGUAAAGCGUUGAUUUGAUAAUAAAGAAAACUUCAUAGUGAUCA